CAGUCGCCGCGGGAAUACGUAGGGUGCAAGCGUUAAUCGGAAUUACUGGGCGUAAAGCGUGCGCAGGCGGUUAUGCAAGACAGAUGUGAAAUCCCCGGGCUCAACCUGGGAACUGCAUUUGUGACUGCAUGACUAGAGUACGGCAGAGGGGGAUGGAAUUCCGCGUGUAGCAGCGAAAUGCGUAGAUAUGCGGAGGAACACCGAUGGCGAAGGCAAUCCCCUGGGCCUGUACUGACGCUCAUGCACGAAAGCGUGGGGAGCAAACAGGAUUAGAUACCCCAGUAGUCCCUGUCUCUUAUAC
rnacentral:rRNA from 1 species